rnacentral:rRNA from 1 species
GAUGAACGCUGGCGGCGUGCCUAACACAUGCAAGUCGAGCGCGAUUAAGUGGAGUGAGAACUUCGGUUCAAGUGAAGCUUAUGAAAGCGGCGGACGGGUGAGUAACGCGUGGGUAACCUGCCCCAUACAAAGGGAUAGCCACUGGAAACGGUGAUUAAUACCUUAUAAGUCGGUAGUCUCGCAUGAGACAGCCGACAAAGAUUUAUCGGUAUGGGAUGGACCCGCGUCUGAUUAGCUAGUUGGUGAGGUAACGGCUCACCAAGGCGACGAUCAGUAGCCGACCUGAGAGGGUGAUCGGCCACACUGGAACUGAGACACGGUCCAGACUCCUACGGGAGGCAGCAGUGGGGAAUAUUGCACAAUGGGCGCAAGCCUGAUGCAGCAACGCCGCGUGAGUGAUGAAGGCUUUCGGGUCGUAAAACUCUGUCCUAUGGGAAGAAAAAAUAGACGGUACCAUAGGAGGAAGCCCGGCUAACUACGUGCCAGCA